CUCUCUUGCAGGUUUUCUCUUCUUUUUUUAAAAAAGACUUUAUUUAUUUAUUUAUUUAUUUAUUUAUUUAUUUAUUUAUUUAAGAGAGCGUGGGAGCGCGAGCGCGCGUGCGCGGGAGCAGGGGGCGGGGCAGGCAGAGGGAGAGGGAGAAGCAGACUCCCCGAUGAGCAAGGAGCCUAAAGCUGGACGGAAGGCGGACGAUUACCGGACGGAGCCACCCAGGAGCCCUCUUGCAGGUUUUCUGCAGUGAGCUUGGACCGACUGACUUUUAUCAUCGUGGAAACCGGAACUGAGAGGCUGCAUUUAAAAUAAAGUGGGCCUUUGGGAGCCAUGGAUUUCAGGAUGAUUAUCACUAUCUCUAGAGAAAUUAAUUACAGGAAAAUAGCAGUUACCACUGUGGCUCUCCACUUGAUUUCCAUCACUCAGUCUGUCAUCUGUACUUUCAUAGUGGCCAUGACCUUUACAUUCUGCUCUGAAACUAAAGUUGACCCUUGAACAGUACAGGUUUGAACCGUGCGGGUCCACUUAUAUGUGGAUUUUUUUCAGUAAAUACAAUACAGUAUAUAAGUGUAUUUUCUUUUCCUUAUUUUAUUAACAUUUUCUUUUCUGUAGCUUGAUUGUAAGAAUACAGUAUAUCAUACAUAUAAGUUACAAAAUAUUAGCAAUCCACUGUUUAUGUUAUCGGUAAAGUUUCCAGGCAACAGUAGGCUAUUAGUAGUUAAAUUCUGGGGGAAUCAACAGUUAUACAGGGAUUUUUUUAAUACAGGGAUUUUUGACUGCAUGGGGGUUUGCACCCCUAACCCUCAUGUUGUUCAAGACUCAGCUAUGUAAGUGAAUCUUUAGAUUAAUUCUAAGAGUUGAAAAUCAGUUAACAGCAUUUAUUAUAUUAUAACAAUGGCACAUGCUAUUUGUUGCCUGCCUAGCAUCCAUCCCAACCUCACUUAACAGAAUCUAACAAGACCCCGAGUUCUUCAAGUGUCUACCCUCAUCACCUAGCCAAAAUUUUCAGGAGAAGUCAGCUCUAUUUUCAGCCAGACAAAAGAUCCCACAUGGGCUGUUUAGUGUUUCUUAAACUUGGGUAUGCGUCAGAAUGACCUAGAAGGCUUGUCAAAGCUCAGACUGCUGAGCUACAUUCACAGAUAUUCUGACACCAUAGAUCUGAGUGAGGCUGAAGAAUUUGCAUUUCCAGCAAGCUUCUUUUUUUUUUUUUUUUUUAAGAUUUCAUUUAUUUGAGAGACACGGCAAGAGAGGGAACACAGCAAGAGAGGGAACACAAGCAGGGGAAUGGGAGAGGGAGAAGCCGGCUUCCCUCUGAGCAGGGAGCCUGAUGCAGGGCUCGAUCCCAGGACCCUGAGAUCAUGACCCGAGCCGAAGGCGGACGCCACCCAGGCACCCCUCCAGCAAGCUUCUAGGUUCUGGAUGCUGCUUCUGCUACUUUGGGCACCAUUCUUUGAGACUCCCUGGUCUACGGGAGGCAUGGCCAUUGCAGUAACUAGGUUAUUGCUCUGGCUUUUUAAUAGCGAUCAGAAUAAAUGGACAGUUUACUUCCCUAUCA
ensembl:lncRNA